CAAUAGCGUAUAUUAAAGUUGUUGCGGUAAAAAAGCUCGUAGUUGGAUUUCUGUUGAGAGCGACCGGUCCAUACCAUGUAUGCGUAUCUGGCUUGCUCUCGGCAUCCUCUCGAUAGACGUUACUGCGCUUGAUUGCGUGGUGCGGAUCUCGGGACUUUUACUUUGAGGAGAUUAGAGUGUUCACGGCAGGCUUUCGCCAGAAUACAUUAGCAUGGAAUAAUACUAUAGGAUCUUGGUUCUAUUUUGUUGGUUUCUAGAAUUGAGAUAAUGAUUAAUAGGGACAAUUGGGGGCAUUCGUAUCAACACGUCAGAGGUGGAAUUCUUGGAUUGUGUUGCGACGAACUACUGCGAAAGCAUUUGCCAAGGAUGUUUUCAUUGA
rnacentral:rRNA from 1 species